AAACCCACCAGAUUCACACAUAUAGAGAGGGCAACAGAUUCCCACAAUAGAGGGGAGAAUUCCAUUUUUUUGGACACAAGACACCACUCCAUUUUUUCCACUCACAAAUAACAAUCAUAGAAACUCAUAGACAGACGCACAUAGCCAUCAAUAUACAUACAAUUAUCGAUCGAGAGAUUAGAGAGCAAAAUAGAUGGAGAGAAAGCUUAGAGAGACUGAUCAGAAUUGAGAAAUACAGACGAGGGAUAGAGUGAUCAGUUGAAAAAAAGGGGUGAAUAGAAUCGGAGAAAAUGUUUUUCGACAAAGCUUGUGACGGAAUCGCUAAUUUCACCGGCUACCAAACGGCUUAAAACCCUCCCCUGUUGAAACCUCCCUACCAAAAAAUACCGAAAUCAUCCGGCCCAACCACCGCAAUUGCAUUUGAAACCAUCCACGCCAAAUCACCAACAAAACGGCCUUCUGAAUUGGUUUCCGGCAAAGUUGCAUAAAAAAUGUGUACGGGUCCUUUGUGUUUCUCAAUUUUGGUUUCAGAUUAGCAAAAAUAAAACAAAAGGUCAAAUCAAAGUCGGGUUUGUUCGUUUAUUGAGGUUUGAUUUGGAAUUUCGGUCGUGGUUCUAGUCAAAAGGAUCAUUUCAAUUGAAAGCGGCUUUAAGCUAUUUACUGAUUUGUUGUAAUAAAGAUUGCAAGUGGGUCUUGAAGGCGUCUUGUAUGAAUGAAUCAAAAUUGUUUGUGAUAAAAAUAUAUGGUUCGGAGCAUACUUGCAGUCUUAGCAACUGAGUGCCGAAUAAUGUGGUUGCGACAACAAAUUUUGUGAGUGAAUUUACAACUUCAAAAUUAAUCAAUCACAAGAGAAUACACACCCCCGCGGACAUUAUUGAAGAGAUGAAGGUUGUUUAUGGAGUUGAUAUUAACUACAUGAAAGGUUGGUGUGCAAAAGAGAAGGCGAUUGCGAUGCUUAGAGGUGGACCAGCAGAUGGAUAUAUAAAAAUGCCCCGUUAUAUCUAUAUGCUGAACCAAGUGUAUCCGCAAUAGCACAUUCGGAUGCAUAAGACAGUAGAUAACGAGUUUAAAUACUUAUUUAUUGCCUUGCAUCCCAUGAUAAGGGGUUUUGAAUUUUUUAGACCUGUUGUAGUUGUUGAUGGGGCUCAUUUAAGCGGUCCAUACGAAGGAACGUUUGUAUCGGCAAGCAUAUUAGAUGGUGCAGGUACUGUGCAUUCAUGUUUUAUUAUACUGUUUUAUUUUUAUGGUGUUUACUAUGUAUUCUAUGAGUUUAUACAUUGAUGUUUUAUGUAUAAUAAUUCAUAGAGCUGCUAAAUUAGUACUUUUA